rnacentral:rRNA from 1 species
AUUGAACGCUGGCGGCAGGCCUAACACAUGCAAGUCGAGCGGAUGAAGGGAGCUUGCUCCUGGAUUCAGCGGCGGACGGGUGAGUAAUGCCUAGGAAUCUGCCUGGUAGUGGGGGAUAACGUCCGGAAACGGGCGCUAGUACCGCAUACGUCCUGAGGGAGAAAGUGGGGGAUCUUCGGACCUCACGCUAUCAGAUGAGCCUAGGUCGGAUUAGCUAGUUGGUGGGGUAAAGGCCUACCAAGGCGACGAUCCGUAACUGGUCUGAGAGGAUGAUCAGUCACACUGGAACUGAGACACGGUCCAGACUCCUACGGGAGGCAGCAGUGGGGAAUAUUGGACAAUGGGCGAAAGCCUGAUCCAGCCAUGCCGCAUGUGUGAAGAAGGUCUUCGGAUUGUAAAGCACUUUAAGUUGGGAGGAAGGGCAGUAAGUUAAUACCUUGCUGUUUUGACGUUACCAACAGAAUAAGCACCGGCUAACUUCGUG